CACGUAGGAGGCAAACGUUAUCCGGAUUUACUGGGCGUAAAGCGCGUGUAGGUGGUUCUGUAAGUAGGGCGUGAAAGCUCCUGGCUCAACUGGGAGAGGCCGUUCUAAACUGCAGAGCUAGAGGAUGGUAGAGGGAGGUGGAAUUCCAGGUGUAGCGGUGGAAUGCGCAGAUAUCUUGAGGAACACCAGUGGCGAAGGCGGCCUCCUGGACCAUUCCUGACACUCAGACGCGAAAGCUAGGGUAGCAAACGGGAUUAGAUACCCCUGUA
rnacentral:rRNA from 1 species